GAAACGGCUUCCACGGCGCGCUGGGGUCGUUCGGGAAGGCGACGGUGCGUCCCAUCGACGAGACCACCUCCGAGUACUACCUCCCGCUCGAGGUGCUGGAUCGCCCGGGAGUGCUGCACGCCGUCACCGGGGUGUUCGCCCGCCACGGCGUGAGCAUCCGCGCUGCCGAACAGGAAGGGCUCCGUGACGACGCCCGGCUGGUGUUCAUCACGCACGAGGCCCGCGAGGCCGACGUCCAGGCCACCCUGCGAGAGCUGCGUGACCUCGAGGCCGUGAAGCAGGUGGGCGGUCUGCUGCGGGUCGUCGGCUCGUCAGGCUGAGGCAGGCCGUGCGCUACGUCUCGACCCGCGGCCGCGCCCCCGAGCUGGGCUUCGCCGACGUCCUCCUCGCCGGCCUGGCGACCGACGGUGGCCUUUACGUACCCGAGACGUGGCCGAAGCUCCACCGGAUCGGCCACGGCGCCCCCUACGCCGCGCUCGCCACCGCGCUCUGCUCGCUCUACACCGGCGACGACCUUGGCGAGGGGGUGCUGGCCCGGGCCUGCGAGGAGGCCUACGCCGCCUUCCGGCAUCCGGCCGUGGUGCCCCUGGUGCAGGUGGGUGACGAGGAGUGGGUCCUCGAGCUGUUCCACGGGCCGACCCUCGCCUUCAAGGAUGUGGCGCUGCAGCUGGUGGGGCGCCUGUUCGACUCUGUGCUGGCCACCCGUGGCGAGCGGGUCACCAUCGUGGGGGCCACGAGCGGUGACACCGGCUCGGCCGCCAUCGACGGGGUGAAGGGAUGCGGCAACGUCGACAUCGUGAUCCUGUACCCGGCUGGGCGGGUGAGCGACGUCCAGCGCCGCCAGAUGACCACCGUGGAGGCACCCAACGUCCACACCGUCGCGAUCGAGGGGACGUUCGACGACUGCCAGGACCUCGUCAAGGCGAUGUUCGCCGAUGAGCCGUUCCGCGAGGACCUGCGGCUGAGCGCGGUCAACAGCAUCAACUGGGCGCGGGUCAUGGCGCAGGUGCCGUACUACGUGGCAGCCGCCCUCGCCCUGGGCGGCGGGCCCGGCGGCCGGCCGGUGUCGUUCAGCGUCCCGACCGGGAACUUCGGCAACGUGUUCUCCGGGUGGGUGGCCCGCAAGAUGGGUGUGCCCAUCCACCAGCUCGUGAUCGGCUCCAACCGGAACGACAUCCUCACGCGGUUCCUGCACAGCGGCCUCAUGCACACCACCCAGGUCGUGCCGACGCUCAGCCCGAGCAUGGACAUCCAGGUCUCGAGCAACUUCGAGCGACUGCUGUUCGAGCUGAACCACCGAGACGGUGGGAUGACGGCGGAGCAGAUGCAUCGGUUCCGGGCCAUGGGUGGGCUGACGGUCGAGCCGGACCAGUACGAGGAGCUGACGUCGCUGUUCGUUGGCUCCCGGCUCGACGACGACCAGACCGUCGCGGAGAUCGCCCGGGUGCACGCGGAGUGCGGCCUCCUCGUGGACCCGCACACGGCGGUCGGCCUCGGCGCUGCGCGCGAGCACCGAGAGGACGCCACCGUGCCGAUGGUCACAUUGGCCACCGCUCACCCGG
rnacentral:misc_RNA from 1 species